rnacentral:rRNA from 1 species
GACGAACGUUGGCGGCGUGCUUAAUACAUGCAAGUCUACUGAAGCAGCGGUAGCAAUAUUGCUGUGGAGGUGGCGCACGGGAGAGUAACACGUAGGUAAUCUGCCUUCAGGUCUGGCAUUACUCCGGGAAACCGGGGCUAAUAGCAGAUGAUGCAGCGGCUCGACAUCGAGACAGUUGUUAAAGUUAUGGCGCCUGAAGAUGAGCCUGCGUCUGAUUAGCUAGUUGGCGGGGUAGCGGCUCACCAAGGCAACGAUCAGUAGCUGGUCUGAGAGGAUGAUCAGGCACACUGGAACUGAGACACGGUCCAGACUGCUACGGGAGGCAGCAGUAAGGAGUAUUGCUCAAAGGGAGGAAUCCUGAAACAGCAUCGCCGAGUGAGGCACGAAGGGCGUUUGCUUGUAAACCUCUGUAGUGAGAGAAAAAGAUCCAGAUCUUUGGGACAUGAUGGUAUCUCACAAGUAAGCCCCGGCUAACUACGUG